CCUCCUUAGCUCAGUUGGUUAGAGCAUCUGACUGUUAAUCAGAGGGUCGCUGGUUCAAGUCCAGCAGGAGG
rnacentral:tRNA from 1 species